rnacentral:lncRNA from 1 species
AUGUUCGGACGGCAACCAAGAUUGCCAGUUGAUUUGAUUUUCAACACCACAGUGAGUCAAGACAAUCCUAAAUUCCACUCACAGUAUGUACAAUCCCUGAAAACUCAUCUUCAAGAGAGUUACAAGUUAGCUCAGAAGAAUGCAGCCAAAUCUGCAGAGCGAAACAAAGUUCGUUUCGACCGGAAAGUAACCGAGUCAUCUCUCGAAGAAGGUGACCGUGUCCUGGUCAGAAAUGUGAGGAUACGCGGCAAACACAAAUUAGCUGACAGAUGGGAUCCCAUGGUACACAUUGUAGUGAGUCGUGCUGGUGAAUUACCUGUCUAUACAGUGAAACCUGAAAGACAAGAAGGUCCCUUACGAACUCUACACAGGGAUUUGUUGUUACCUUGUGGAUUCUUAUCUCCGCUGAUGGAAGAUAAAACUGAUGCAACAAAGCCUCAGAAAAAACGAGUGACCAGGCGAAACAGAGAUGAGGAAACUGAUGAAUGUCAAGAGAACUAUCAAAGUUCCGACGAAGAUGACUACAUACCCCAAUUUUCUGGAGGUCCAGCCAUUACUACACAAAGGUUCAUCAAGGAGUACAAUGUGGUCAGGAACCCUAAAUAUGUCUCUUCUACCUCUGAUUCUGAAGUUCAAACGUCUGUCCCAAGUCAUGGUUCAGAGACUGUGAAUGCAAGAAUUGUACCCAGGGGAAAUGAUUCAUCCGACAUAGAACACUUACCUGAUAUUCAGCACCUACCUGAAACCCAGUCUUCAUCAUGUGGAACAGGACCUGAACAGGAAAACCUGAAAGAAAGAAACCACUUACCUCAAGUAGAGCAGCAAACACUAGAUGUACCUGAUGGAACGGAGAAGGACAAUGACACACAAGCUGUCCAUGUUGAGGAAAGUGUACCUAAUGUUCCAUUGAGGAGAAGCAGAGUAGAAUCAGCUGAAUCUGCUGAACUUACUGAACCUGUGGAAGAAACGGAUCAAAGUGCAAGUGAGGAUGAAAUUCAGUUAAGAAAGUCCAAAAGAGUGAAGCAGAAGUCAAAAAGACUGACUUACCCAGAAAUGGGGAACCCAAUGAUAUCCAUUAUCCAAUCCCUGCUCCAAGGACUGAACACCGCUUUUGUCGAGUCACUUGCAGAACAACCCAGAUCAAUUAGACACUCCAAACCCUAA